rnacentral:lncRNA from 1 species
GGAGAAGGGCUCCCCGUGGGCCAAGGCCAGGGGGUGGGUGUGAUUUGGUACAAGCGGGGGCAGAGUCAGGAAAUUGGGCUAGCAUGAGCCAAGGCUCCACAUUGGGAAGAAGGGAGACGUGGAGCUGGGAGGUGAUGCUGGCCUCCGAUAACCAGCCGAGGAGAAGGAGAGGGAAGAGCAGGAAAGAUAUUGGCCCUUCAACACGUGUGGUGUCAUGUGUCCUUACCACCACUUAUGUGUGACAGAAACGAGACUCAGGUUAAGUGACUUGCCCACGGUCACCCAGCUGUCGACUCCAGAUUUAAUCUGGAAAGCCACAGAAAAUCACCGCAGGCAGGUUUGCAGCCUGGGGCAGGACAGAGAGAAAGCAGCCUCGGGUGGGCAGAGGAGCUGAUCUCUAGAGACUGCGCUGGGCUGUGCCUAAUCCAGACACAACGCUAAUCCAAAAAGUA